rnacentral:tRNA from 1 species
GCCCGGCUAACUCAGUCGGUAGAGCACGAGACUUUUAAUCUCGGGGUCGUGGGUUCGAGCCCCACUUUGGGCC